CACUUUUAGUCCUCAAAUUAUAAGUUAUUGUCAUUUCUGAUCCGAACUUUUUUGAAUUAUUAUAAUUAAGUUCCACAAUCUAACUUAGUUGGCUAAAUAUUGAGAAAUUGUUAAUGUAGAAGUAAUGUCGAAAUAUUGUGAUUGAUGAAGCGACAAUAAUUAAUAUAUUAUUUCACUUCUACAUAAAAAACUAUUUUUUAUGAUUUUACAUACAAUCGAACACCCGCUCAGUGUAUUGUCACUUUGUUAUUAUGUGGUUUAAAUAGUUUUUCUUUCCAAUUCUAUUAUUCUCCUUUUAUAUCACUGCAAAAUACUGUCACCAAAUGGGAUAGUAAAAUGAUAGAAUUUAUAAGCUACAGAAUAGUAAAGUAUUUAUUUACCAAACCUUGAAAUAACAACGUUUAGCAUUUUAAUGGCCUACAUUUUUCACAUAGCUCUCUAUGGUUUAUAAACUACAUUAUUUUAGAAAAAUCCUACUUGUAUACCCCAUCCUUAGGGAUGCCAAUGGGUACAGAUAUCCAAAAUUUUAUCCAAGCCCGAACUUGAAUGGAGCGGAUAUAUUCAAUGCUAAACAAAUAUGGAUAUCAAAAAUAAAAACCCGACAGAUAUGAAUUCGGAUAUGGAUUUUACUUGUACCCGACCCGAACCUGACCCGAACCCGAAUUUAUUUUGCAUUAUAUAUAUAUAUAUAUAUAUAUAUAUAUAUAUAUAUAUAUAUAUAUAUAUAUAUAUAUAUAUAUAUAUAUAUAUAUAUAUAUNUUAGAUUUAAUGUAAUAUAUUUUGAAAUAUGGAAAAAAGAAAUAAUUGUUUCGGGUUCGAAUUUUCGGGUUCGGAUUCGGGUUUCGAAUUUUUGGUCCGGUUCGGGUUUGGAUAUGAAUUUUUUAAAUCCAUCGGAUACGGGUUCGGUCUCGAGUUUGGAGUUGGGUUCAAGUUCGGGUUUUUAAAAAUUCGCUCCGAAUCCGACCCGUUGACAUCUCUAACCAUCCGGAGUGUACAAGUUACAGCCCACCCAUCCAAUCACGUAUUGGAUGAGUGGGGUGUAAAAUAUACACCCCAUCCAGAGUGUAUAUGUAGUAUUACUCAUUAUUUUAAUGCUCUACUU
rnacentral:lncRNA from 1 species